rnacentral:rRNA from 1 species
AUGAACGCUGGCGGCGUGCCUAAUACAUGCAAGUCGAGCGAACAGACGAGGAGCUUGCUCCUCUGACGUUAGCGGCGGACGGGUGAGUAACACGUGGAUAACCUACCUAUAAGACUGGGAUAACUUCGGGAAACCGGAGCUAAUACCGGAUAAUAUAUUGAACCGCAUGGUUCAAUAGUGAAAGACGGUUUUGCUGUCACUUAUAGAUGGAUCCGCGCCGCAUUAGCUAGUUGGUAAGUUAACGGCUUACCAAGGCAACGAUGCGUAGCCGACCUGAGAGGGGGAUCGGCCACACUGGAAGUGAGACACGGUCCAGACUCCUACGGGAGGCAGCAGUAGGGAAUCUUCCGCAAUGGGCGAAAGCCUGACGGAGCAACGCCGCGUGAGUGAUGAAGGUCUUCGGAUCGUAAAACUCUGUUAUUAGGGAAGAACAAAUGUGUAAGUAACUAUGCACGUCUUGACGGUACCUAAUCAGAAAGCAACGGCUAACUACGUG